UACGUAGGGUGCGAGCGUUAAUCGGAAUUACUGGGCGUAAAGCGUGCGCAGGCGGUUUUGUAAGCCAGAUGUGAAAUCCCCGGGCUUAACCUGGGAAUGGCAUUUGGGACUGCAAGGCUGGAGUGCGGCAGAGGAGACUGGAAUUCCUGGUGUAGCAGUGAAAUGCGUAGAUAUCAGGAGGAACACCGAUGGCGAAGCAGGUCUCUGGGCUGACACUGACGCUCAUGCACGAAAGCGUGGGGAGCAAACAGG
rnacentral:rRNA from 1 species